rnacentral:lncRNA from 1 species
AAUAGAUUCCGGUAACCCCCUCCUGUCUACCAGAGUCCUCUCCCUGUAACCCAGAAUGUUUGCACGUCCCACCCGCGCUUUGCCCAGCUCCUCACUGUCCUUGGACUUCCCUGGAGAACGUAGAACUGAUGUGCACUGUUGGCUCCUGUUGUGCUGCACAGGCCUCCGUACAAACGGAACUCAAGAGCAUACACCACUCAUCUCUGCUAGUGGAUCACCUCUGAACGCUGUCUGCGCUGGGCUGAGGAUGCUCAUUACUGAAGUUCAAGGUUCUUACUGAUGUCACUGGAAAAUUUGUCUCUGCUCUGAGAAAUCACAGGGGUUAGUCUUUGUGACUCGUGAGGUGACUACACUAACACCUGGUGUUGAUAAGAUGGCAUGAAAACAGCCAGCUCUGGAAGUCGUGCGGAGUGAUGGCUCAGAAGUGAAUAGUGCUUGCUGCUCUUUCCAAGGACCCGAGAUGGGUUACCAGCACCCAUGUUCUCCAGAUCACAGUCUUCGCUAACUCCAGCUCCAGGGCUUCUAACCCCCUCUUCUGGCCUCCAUGGUACCUUUACUCAUGUGCCUGACAUCCUCCCACACAUACUUAAUGAAAAAUUAGAAUUAAAUCUUUAAUAAUAAUAAUAAAGAGUCCC